UCCAAGUAGGGUUCUUCGGGAUUUUCUGGUCCAAGAAAUGCCUGAGCAGAUUGAUUUUUCGCUAGACUCUGAAACAGCCAUAAGAACGAACUGUUAUGUACGUUAGAGAGGAAAGAGAGAAAGAAAGAGAGAACGCAUCCAUUGUUGGUACACAGAAUGAUAACCUACCGGAUCCAUUGGGGCCAACAACCGCUGUAAAGGACUUCAGGGGUCCGAUAAUAAGCUUUCCUUUAUAAGACUUAAAGUUCUCGACCUCAAUAUGCUUCAAAAACGCUGGCAUCUUCGAAAUAAUCAAAUAAAUCACAUGAAAUCAGAAA